CUGAUGGAAAUGCAUGGGUCAUGGUAACAUGAUAAAAUAACCUACAGGCCAACCACUAAAAAUGGAAAAGUGUUCUAACACAUGAUAAAUUGUCAUCUUCAUUUAUUGCAAAACAAGGUUGAAAAUACUAACAAGAAGCCAAGUUCAACUUCAUUUUAAGAGGCGUGUUCUGACAUUUCACUAUCUUUUAUAAUUAAAAAAUCAAGAAUAAGCAGAUCAAGAUGAAACUAUGAACAAUGAAUUUCUCCAUGGGGUUUGCAUGGUAAGGAGUUUUGGCAUUUCACUUAUUGGUCUGUGUGUCACUUUAAAAGAAAAACCAAGUAUAAAACUAAGUCAUUUCUCCAUGGGGUCGGUAGCCAUGACAGGUUUUGGCAUUUCACCAUCAUCAGCGAUGGGUACUCUUGUACAGACCGAACAGUAAGGGCUGGCAAAUCAAAAUGAUCAGAAAGAAUCAAAUUGUUUUUAAAAUGUAUUUGCAAAUUUAUUUGUUACUCAAGACUUAGUUCAUCAAAUGAACAGGCCAGGAUAACACCUGUACCAUCUGACAAACAAAACAGAUAAGAUAGGGAGGCCAAAAUGAUCAAUAAUGACCAAACUAAGAGUAAAUUUAAAUUUACUUUAUUUACUACAAUUAAAAAGUGAACAAGAAAUAUGAGACAAAAAGCUAAGUUUGAGGCUUAGUAGAUCAAAUGAACAGAUUAUAUUAGGACAUGCCUAGAUUGUUUGACAAACCAAAACAGAGAGAAUAGGCAAGACAAACUGAUCACAAACGAUCAAACUAAAAUAAAUUAAUAACUUCAUUUUUUGCAAUUUAACAUUGAAGAAGAAAAUAAUACACAAAAAGCCUGGUCCCACACUUAAUUCAUAUAAAGAAUAAGAUAGGACAAUAUAUGCGCCACCUGAAAAAAUGUUCAAAGGGUACACACACCGAUGAAAAUGGUGAAAUGUCAGAAUACGAAUAACUUAAGGUUCAACUAAGUUUCAAACAAAAAAUAAAUAUUUUAAUUAAUCAUGUGUUCAGAAAGUUGAAAUUUAAAGAAUUUUUUCAUAUUUUGAUUACAUUUUUGGUUUUUUCUGUUAUAGUGAGACAUAGACCAUCAAAUGAAAAUGGUGAAAGCCAACCAGUGAAGAUGGUGAAAUGUCUGAACACGCCUUGAUGACAAUUUCAAUUAAAUUAUAACAUUAAUUUGAAAUGAGAUGCAAAAGUGGUAGAUGGAGUUGUUCAUUUGUCAUAUGUCACAUUUCAAUUUAUUUCAUAGUGACAAUGUUGUGAUUUAGAUUUCAUGAUUAGGCUAGAUUAAAAAAUAAAAGAGGAUCUCGACAAUGAGGGUAGAGACAAUCGAGUCUAGAAGUGAACAAGUCGAUUCCGUGUAGAUGAGAGACACAAAGAAGUGUGCAAUCCUGAAAAGAAUUUAAAAAGUGUUGAAUUCCCUAAAAUAAAGUGCUUCGAUCCACAGCAGAUUGACUAAAUACUAUUAGAUGUUAACCCUGAAGAAACUGAGGAGGAUUGGGCUGUUCUAGAUCUAGGCGCACGAAGGAAAGGAAGGUGUGCUGUUAUCAAAACAUCCACAAGAUAGGUGUUUUUUAUAAUAAAUUACAUAAUUGUUA
rnacentral:lncRNA from 1 species